AAACAUGUGUGUUGGUGCCGGAAUUAGCACCUCCGACAAUACCGGCUUAAACCAAAGGAACUACGAAUUAGACUGAGAUUUCAAUCAAACCGGGGUAUCCCGGUUUAGCCUGUUAAUGGGCCAAAAUAAGGAGGUCAUUUGCCGACUUUAGCCCGAAGUAGGGAGACCGUCUAGCCGACUUCCUAAUUCGAAGAAAAAGAAGUUUUCUCCUUUGAAAAUAGGAAGUCUUUGGAGAUAAAGGAAAUUAGAAGAUUCAAUCCUCGAAGAAAUAGAAGUUUAACAAAUCUUUUAACCAUCUUAAUAGUGUAUAAAUAGAGGGGUUUGUCCUCUAUUCUAAGGAUCCGAAAUUUAAUACUAAAAACCCUAGUUUUCUUCAUUGUUCUUGGGCAAAACCCUAACUUUGUCUCUAAGCAACCUUGUUCUUCUUUUCAUUGAAUCUUUGGUCACUGAAUAGCGAGAGAGUUAAGUAAAUUUGUUUACCCCCUUUAAACAAAUUUAUUGUGUGAUUUUCAGAAUCAACAAUUGGCGCGCCAGGUAGGGGGACACAAACAACUCUCUUCGCAUAUUACUCAUCCAAGUUUUCGGUGAACGCUCAUC
rnacentral:sRNA from 1 species